rnacentral:rRNA from 1 species
GACGAACGCUGGCGGCAUGCCUAAUACAUGCAAGUCGAGCGGACAGAAGGGAGCUUGCUCCCGAAAGUCAGCGGCAGACGGGUGAGUAACACGUGGGCAACCUGCCCCUUAGAUUGGGAUAACUUCGGGAAACCGAAGCUAAUACCGAAUAAUACAAGGAACCUCCUGGUUCUCUGUUGAAAGAUGGCCUUUGUGCUGUCACUAAGGGAUGGGCCCGCGGCGCAUUAGCUAGUUGGUAAGGUAACGGCUUACCAAGGCGACGAUGCGUAGCCGACCUGAGAGGGUGAUCGGCCACACUGGGACUGAGACACGGCCCAGACUCCUACGGGAGGCAGCAGUAGGGAAUCUUCCGCAAUGGACGAAAGUCUGACGGAGCAAUGCCGCGUGAGUGAGGAAGGCCUUCGGGUCGUAAAGCUCUGUUGUGAGGGAAGAACAAGUAUCGCCGUAACUACCGGUACCGUGACGGUACCUCACCAGAAAGCCACGGCUAACUACGUGCCAGCCGCCGCAGUAA